rnacentral:rRNA from 1 species
AUUGAACGCUGGCGGCAGGCCUAACACAUGCAAGUCGAACGAGUGGCGGACGGGUGAGUAAUGUCUGGGAAACUGCCUGAUGGAGGGGGAUAACUACUGGAAACGGUAGCUAAUACCGCAUACCAUCGGAUGUGCCCAGCUGGGAUUAGCUAGUAGGUGGGGUAAAGGCGCACCAAGGCGACGAUCCCUAGCUGGUCUGAGAGGAGGACCAGCCACACUGGAACGGAGCCACGGUCCAGACUCCUACGUGAGGCAGCAGUGGGGAAUAUUGCACAAUGGGGGCAAGCGUGAUGCAGCCAUGCCGCGGGUAUGAAGAAGGCCUUCGGGUUGUAAAGUACUUUCAGCGGGGAGGCGUUACCCGCAGAAGAAGCACCGGCUAACUCCGUGCCAGCAGCCGCGGUAAUUC